rnacentral:rRNA from 1 species
AAAAACAUGGCUCCUUGAAAAUCUUUUAUAAGGAGUCGGACCUGCCCAGUGAAUAUUUUUAACGGCCGCGGUACUCUGACCGUGCAAAGGUAGCAUAAUCAUUUGCCCUAUAAUUGAGGGCUAGUAUGAAUGGUUUGACGUGAACAAAGCUGUCUCUAUGUGAUUUUCUAGAACUUGAUUUCUAGGUGAGGAAACCUAGGUACUAUUGAAAGACAAGAAGACCCUAUUGAGCUUUAAAAAAAUAGGUUGAGAAUAAUAUAUAAUUUUAAAUAUUAAUCUAUCUUAGAUUUUGGUUGGGGCGACUAUGGAACAAGUAAAGCUUCUUUACAGUUAGUAAGACUUACAGGUGUUGAUCCAGAAAUUUUGAUUAAUGGAAUUAGUUACCAUAGGGAUAACAGCAUAAUUCUCUUCGAGAGCUCUUAUCGAAAAGAGAGUUUGUGACCUCGAUGUUGGACUAGAAUGUCCUAAAGAUGUAGCAGUCUUUAAGGGUUGGUCUGUUCGACCAUUAAAAUUCUACGUGAU